rnacentral:rRNA from 1 species
AUUGAACGCUGGCGGCAGGCCUAACACAUGCAAGUCGAGCGGAUGAAGGGAGCUUGCUCCUGGAUUCAGCGGCGGACGGGUGAGUAAUGCCUAGGAAUCUGCCUGGUAGUGGGGGAUAACGUCCGGAAACGGGCGCUAAUACCGCAUACGUCCUGAGGGAGAAAGUGGGGGAUCUUCGGACCUCACGCUAUCAGAUGAGCCUAGGUCGGAUUAGCUAGUUGGUGGGGUAAAGGCCUACCAAGGCGACGAUCCGUAACUGGUCUGAGAGGAUGAUCAGUCACACUGGAACUGAGACACGGUCCAGACUCCUACGGGAGGCAGAAGUGGGGAAUAUUGGAAAAUGGGAGAAAGCCUGAUCCAGACAUGCCGCGUGUGUGAAGAAGGUCUUCGGAUUGUAAAGCACUUUAAGUUGGGAGGAAGGGCAGUAAGUUAAUACCUUGCUGUUUUGACGUUACCAACAGAAUAAGCACCGGCUAACUUCGUG